AGCGAACGCUGGCGGCAGGCCUAACACAUGCAAGUCGAACGGACCCUUCGGGGUUAGUGGCGGACGGGUGAGUAACACGUGGGAACGUGCCCUUUGGUUCGGAACAACUCAGGGAGACUUGAGCUAAUACCGAAUGUGCCCUUCGGGGGAAAGAUUUAUCGCCAUUGGAGCGGCCCGCGUCUGAUUAGCUAGUUGGUGGGGUAAUGGCCCACCAAGGCGACGAUCAGUAGCUGGUCUGAGAGGAUGAUCAGCCACAUUGGGACUGAGACACGGCCCAAACGCCUACGGGAGGCAGCAGUGGGGAAUCUUGCGCAAUGGGCGAAAGCCUGACGCAGCCAUGCCGCGUGAAUGAUGAAGGUCUUAGGAUUGUAAAAUUCUUUCACCGGGGACGAUAAUGACGGUACCCGGAGAAGAAGCCCCGGCUAACUUCGUGCCAGCCGCCGCGGUAAGAC
rnacentral:rRNA from 1 species